CACGGCGAACCAGAGUCUGAAGUGAAGGGCUCUGGACUGGGAGAACACGCUCUUCAGAGAAAAUAAUCAAGAAGGAAUCAGUCACGACGACCAGUUAAACAAGAUGUGACACCUGAGAGUACACCAUUACUUCACAGAUAAUAACAACUAUUGAUGCAUGUGAGCAUGUAAACCUUUCAUUUAUAGACCAGUUGUACUACGCCCUGCUUCUGAAGAAACUUGCUUGUAUAUGUAUUUAUAUACAAUUUUAUUCAUUUAUUGUGUGUACAUACAUAAACCGUAUUCCUUAACUGAGUGGCCUGCAUCCUGACAUUAAGCCUAAUAGGCCGUCAUCACAGAGGUGGAAUAGGCCGAAGAACUCACUAAUGAAGCUAAUUUGGCUAAUUAUUGGCCUGUAAGCCAGUGUCCAUUAUUGACAUCAUGAGGUACCCCUGUGUUCAAAACUUCCAUUACACCUGAUUGAUUUAGGCCUCAUGGACCAUAUUGGGUUUUAAUGUUGGUCAGUCAGAGGAUAUUUAACGUUCUCCAUCCCUCCUUUAAUUCAGUGUCCAGGUCUCAAUUCUGCUCAGUGUUUCUUUUAAUAAUGACAAUAAUCAAUGAUCCCUUGAAUCCCACAACAAUCAUCUUUCCUUAAAAACAAACAAAGUCCAUGUUUGGUGGUCAUUGCACAAUACAUUGUAAUAGCAGGAUUUAAAUAUUAAGAGACAAAUACUUCAAAUGUAAAAAUCUCUUAAAAUGUGCUUAAAUGAUUGAAACAUCUUGUAAAACUCCAAAUACUUUGUCUUUCUUGCAUGCAUCUGGAGGCUCUAUCCCAAAUCUGUUCCUGCAUUGGUGCACACGCACAUACAAUCGCUCACAAACAGACAGUCACUAACACAAACACAGUCACACACACACACACCUGUGACACACCGACCUCCCUCCGAGACAGCUUUGGAAUGUUGUUUAGUUUCAAAUUCUUUAUAAACACAUUCUUGUAAAGAAUAUGUUUCAAAUGGGGGGCCCACAGUUUUAGCUUUUAGUGCAAGUUUAAAAGCGAGUAAUGGGGCAGAGCUCCACUGGGGGAGCUAUAAGGUAUAGCUAUAAGGGUUAGGGACCUGACAGUAAACCAGGGUGUAGAAGGCCACUCCUGGUGACUUUCAGCACCAGGAAACGCAGGUCUUUAACUGAAACAAGGAAGAUUCUUGGUCUUUGUAGUUGGAAUUUGUGACAUAAUAUAAUGAGCUGUUGUUGCUAUGGAUACAAAAUAAAACAAAAAGAAUAAUGAAAAAGGCACCGGCAAAGCCAAGAAGGUGUCUUCAGUAGGCUCCCUCCUCGGACCACACCUACUUUACACUCCUAUUUUCAAGAUUAGCAUUAUUUUUAUAUUUUAUAAAAAAAUAUAAAAAUAAUACAAAUCUUGAAAAUAGAUUUCGGAUUAUAAAAACGAAAUCUGGAGAGCGUGAGCGUGUGUACAGAUAUAUGCAUCUUCAGCAAGCAAGGAUAAAUGCACAUGGAAAACAAUUUUAGCAUACAAAUGUGGACAUUUGUGUUGCAUUUUCAAAA